UGUUACAGCCGAGUCCUAUCAUAUCCGAACCGGUAAGAUACAUCCGCCACCUAAAAAUACCAGCGCCUCUUCCUCCACUUUCAUGGCCGCUCUCAAACCACCUCCAUGUUCACUGCCUCAGCGCCCACCAAUAAAACCAGGAGCAACUCAUUGUAAGGACGCGCAAUCUCACCAGCGCCGCUUCCUCCCCUUCCAAUUAUACAAAACCCUAUAAGUGCUUGUGCUCAUUAUCUCACUUCACAUCAAGAAGCAACUUCUCAAAUCAGGACGCGCCUUUGCUGAAAGCAUGAAUCUACGCCAAGAAUAACGAGUCAGACUUCCGCUUCAGACAACAAAGUCGUCUCUCAAAUGAAUUCAGGGGAUGGAUUUUGAAGUUUCAGCAGCAUCCAACACGAUCUCAUCAACAAAAAAUUUAACAGACAAGUAACCCAUUUGUCAUCACCCAUUGAAAUCGUUAAUCGAUUUCGACAUCGAAUUUUAGGGUUUUCCAUAAGCUCAAACUUGAUUUUUCUUUUGAUUAUACUACCUGAUUGUGUUGCUCAUCGAUAGAGUUUAGCAGCCCUUUACAUGUGGUUAUUUGAUGAAGUCCCUUGUAAAUGGGGAAAGGGAGGAUGCUAGCGCCAAGAACCUUGCCAUCGUCAAGCAUAUUUGAUCCAUCUCGCACCUACAACCCAACGCCCUUAAAGCUCAGCAAGGAUUGCCUCGAGAAUGGAAGUGAUGAAUGAUGCUUGCCCAAAGUGCUCCAAACCAAUGCCAAAACAUAACGAGUAGGCAAGGUAUAACCCCAGCUGCAACUCAAGGCACCUCUGCCGCAAGACAGACUAAAAAGACUGAGAAGCUCAACUUCUUUGUGAUGUUCCUUUGAAUGUGGUGUAGCGGGUCCGAUAGCAACAGCCAAGGCAGAGAAGUAUCCACUCCUCCGCUACAACACAGGCUAAAGAUUACAUCUUCUAUAUACCUCCGAUUGCCUGCUAGUGAAUCAGAGCCAAGUGCCUUAGAUUUGUUUUUCAUGGUCAACCACCCUCUUUCAACCUCAGAAUAUUGAUUACAGCAGCUGAUCUCCGAUUUCCCCCGACGCGUGCAUUGUAGAAACAACAUGGUCCAAGAGCCUUUAUUAGUUUUGAAUUGUAAGCCUAACGAUCAACAAGGUCAGUGGACGAUCAUACAGCUGCUACGUACUCGCAGCUUGGCCCCAACUGAUCUCAUCGGGAAGCUAAAAGUACCCGCUGCUCAAUGCAAAGAUAAGUUCCCAUUGCCUUGGUUUGAUAUUUAAUUGACACUUAUCCUAGAGUUUUCGAUUGUGCUUGGGUGAGAAUGUAUGCAUAUUCUUCGGACUGUUUCUAUAAUGAUCAUACAUUCCUGUUAGAAAAGAAAAAGAAAAAAAAAGGGAAGGGGGGCUCGAAUAUAGUGUUGAGCUUGCAUUA